CUCCUUGGCAUGGAGGAGGCCUCGGGUUCAAAUCCCGACAAGUCCA
rnacentral:tRNA from 1 species